GUUCACAAGUUCAAGUUUACCGCGUCGACGCUACACACUACAACCAAUAAGGUUUGAGAAUGGUAUGGCGCGGGCUGUCUCACGUUGCGAUUACGUAAACAAACAGAUUUUUCGCGUGCUCGCCAAAUUCGAACAUGUGAAUGAUUUUGAGUCAAAAUCGAUUAGUUACAUUUGUUUUUAAUAAGAAGUAACGGGAUAACUUAAAACGAAUAUAGCACAUACUCAUAUGGAUUACUUUUUUUUUUUUUUGGAAUUUAUUUAUUUAUUUAUUUGAAUCAUGCUUCCAUCUGUCAUCCGGGUGUCUCACUGAUGAAAACACCAGUUUGAAGCUACAUCAGGCAUCCAUUCACUGCAGAGGAUUCAUUGCUGAGCAAGUGAUGGAAUGCUAAUUUCCUCCAAAUUAGUUCCGAUAAAGAAACAAACUCAUCUACAUCUCGGAUGACCUGAGGACACAGAUAUAUGAUGGGUGAUGCACCCUUUCCCAAAACAGAAACUAAUGUCGGCAGAGCAGAGAUAGCUCAUCUUGUCACCCACUGAAUCAUAAUGAGGAAAUGUGAGGUAUGUUUUUUUUUUUUUUUUUUUUUUUUUUUUUUUUUUUUUUGUAAAUAAGCUCUUCUAAUAUUGGGAGGCAGCAUUGGUGAAAUUGAAGCCAUGAGAUGUAUAAAACUUUGAUUUUAUGGUGUAUUGGAUGUUCUGUCACAGGAUAAUGCUUGUAAUCAGCAGUAUCGGAGAACAAGAAUGUCAUUGUCUCACCCCUCAUUUCCUGUCCGGUUCAGAUGGCCAGAGUGAGGCAAAUAUUAGAUCAACAUGUAUGGAAAUAUAUUAUUACAAAGAGAAGCUGUUACGCCGCAGACACCUCUGCAAGAGUCCAAGUGAGAUUUGUGAACCGCCGCUGCAAGGAAAAGGACCUCUGGUGUCAAGGUCAAACUUCUUUGGAACAAUAAAUUUAUUGUACGUAAAACUUUGGAUUAGGUGAGCAUGUGUCUUUUUUUUCUCUCUCUCACAUACACAGAUGGCUGUACAUUCACAUCAGGGCUUGUUUAAUAACACGAAGAGACACAACUUCUGCCGCUCUCUGUCAUCCUAAUUACAUUCGUCUUUCUGACUUCUAUGAAAGCCUCUCUGAAACUCAUUUCACUGGAGACAAGGAAACACGAGCUGGAAGCUUUGACGGAGCUCUCAUUUUGUCUGUCUAAAGGGCCAAGGGGCCUCUUGUUUGAAACAAAGAGCACUAAAUUACAGCGUGUCAUCACCUCUCUCCAGAAAUUCUUGAUUGUAGCCAGGGCGGCUUUGGACGUCCAAGGCAUUAAUGGCAAAAAUAUAUGCCAUCAGCCCCCACUGAUGAAGUACGGAAACUACCUGAAUAGCCAUUUAUUGGAAUGAAAGGAACUCCAUGCCAAUGAGUUGUGAUUGCUUCCAUAAUAAUGGAAUGUUCCUGAAUUGUUCUGAUUGGCACGGCUAUUGGAUGCUCAAGUGUGACCAAUUACACCCAUCAUCCUGUCACAUUAUUUUUUUAUUUUUUUAUUUUCACAUUUUUCUGCCUCAAACUGCCAGAUUAAUUGGAAGGUAGAGUCCCCUUUUCAAAGUUUCCAAACUUGUUGCAACUCGCAACAAUAGCGGGAGUACUUUUGCAGACUUUGACAGCAGCACGCUGCAUGGCGGCUGAUACAGAGAAGUCAUCAUCCGUCCACUUUGAGACUCCACUCCAUGGCAUUAACAGCCACCUAAGCGAGGAAAGAGCCUCGCACUUUGUGAAGGUUUCCUGUGGACAAUUGCAGGUCACGGCUCAAAGCUCUCGCGGCCUGUCGGUCUGAUGAGAGGGGAGUACGUGGUUUUUGUUGAGCCAUUUUACAGAGCAUUAGAACUGCUGGGCACUGCUGCGCCUUCUUACAUGACAACACCGACUGAGUCACAACCGCCGGGGCGGUGGUUCUGCUGUGCUCAGUAGUACGGAAUAAAAUCCAUGCCGAAUAUCUACCGCUUGUGGUA
ensembl:lncRNA